UAAAUAUUAGGCUUUAGCUACAAAUCAGACACACCAUUCUGUAGAAAUGAUGCUUGAAAUUCUUAGGGAAAAGACUGCGCAAAAAUUUCCCAAGGACCCAAGGACGCUCUUGAAAACACCAAGAACAGCAACAAAUAUUACAAAUAUUGAAGGAGGACAAUAUUGGUACAACGGUUUGCAGAAGUGUAUCAUCAAUAAUUUCAGUUUCAGGGACGACGAAAUUGAUGUGGAAACUAUUUCUAUUAAUAUUUCUAUCGAUGGCUUACCCUUACAUAUGAGUUCGUCCACGCAAUUUUGGCCAAUACUCGCAAAUAUACAUGAACUUCCUGACUUUCCUGUCAUGACUGUAGCGAUUUUCUGUGGCCCCAAAAAGCCAGGAAAUCUGGAUGAAUUUUUAGGACCCUUAAUCACUGAACUAAAUUCAUUAAUGGCCAAUGGAGUUUUUGUAAAGUCCAGAAAGAUAGGAGUAAAAAUACGAGCAAUAAUAGCAGACUCACCAGCCAGAGCAUUUAUAAAAGGUGUUGCUUAUUUCAACGCGAAGAAUGGGUGUUUGAAGUGUAAAUGUGUUGGAGUAUUUAACCACGAUUCGAAUACAGUUGUGUUUAGAGGCAUUAACGCUCCUCUCCGAACUGACAAGGAAUUUAGAGAAGCAUCCCAGACCGCACAUCAUAAAAUCUUGACACCUCUACUGCUACUGGAUAAUUUCGACAUGAUACAGAAUGUUAUUAUCGCAGACGUACUGCAUUUGAUAUACUUGGGUAUUAUGCGAAGAUUACUGUUUGGGUGGAGAGAUGGUACCUUAGGUUAAUACACAAAGUGGGCUUCCAGUACGAUUGAACAAAUUACUAAGUGGUUAAAAAAUGUUAAAUUACCUUAUGAAAUUCAUCGUAAAACACGAGAUCUAUAUUGUUUGCGACAUUGGAAAGGCACAGAAUAUAGUAGUUUUUUUUCAUUAUUUAAGCUUUGUUAUCCUAAAGCACUAUUUACCAGAAGACGCAUACGAACAUUUUAUGCUUCUAUUUUGUUCAAUUACAUUAUUGUCGUCAAACAUUUACAAAUCAAAUUGGAAACUUGCUGCCGAAAUGCUUGAGCAAUAUUUUCUAGACUUCGAGAAGAUUUAUGGUGUAAAGUAUAUGACCAGCAAUGUUCACAAUU